rnacentral:rRNA from 1 species
UACGAAGGGGGCUAGCGUUGCUCGGAAUGACUGGGCGUAAAGGGCGCGUAGGCGGUUUGUACAGUUGGGUGUGAAAUUCCUGGGCUUAACCUGGGGGCUGCACUCAAUACGUAUGAGCUAGAGUGAGGAAGAGGGUCGUGGAAUUCCCAGUGUAGAGGUGAAAUUCGUAGAUAUUGGGAAGAACACCGGUGGCGAAGGCGGCGACCUGGUCCUUGACUGACGCUGAGGCGCGAAAGCGUGGGGAG